rnacentral:lncRNA from 1 species
GUAUACUAAAUAUUUCAAUUAUUUUUGCAGUCACUUCUGUUCUUCACAUUAACUGGUUAAAGUCAGUAAAUCAGAAAUGACUAGAAUUAAGGCCAAAAUUGUUUCAACAAUCAACUUUUACCUCUUGGUAGACGCCAGACUUUGAAAGUCCUUUUGCAUCUCCGCAUGUUCCCUUGCAUCUUUGAAUCCUCUACCAACCUCACCCCAUCCCCACUAUGCCAUUUACAAGUGUACACAGUGCUUUCUUUUGUAAAAAUGGCUUGCCUAAUAGUUUCUGCAGGCGUUUUCUCAAUUCUGUCAAAUCCUGACUAUGCCGCUGCAUUCAUUGACCUCAACACAGUGAAUAAAGCGCACAGCACACCAUUUCAAGGCUCUGGUUAAAUUGUCAUGAAGUUCUGGUGCUAUUCUCUAACUUUCUUGAAGUUGCUGAUCAUCCUAAACAAAUUCUUCUUCAGUCCUACCUACCCUGAGCCAAGUAUUUCUAGAGCAUGGUGAUCUAAUGGAAAGAGCCAAACUUGGGAGUCAGGAACUACUGACUGAGCCUCGUCCUGCUGUGGACUAGCUAAGUGAACUGGGAUAAUCUCUGAUCCUCUCCAGACCUUAAUGUCUUCACUUAAAAAAUUGAGAGAACAGUAUAUUAGUACUUAACAUCAGAGCUGUGACAAUCACAUUAGAGAAUUCAGUUCUCUGGAGGAACUGAAGUAAGCCAGGGUGCAAGCCCUUCCCCAGAGGCAAGUAGGAAUACGGUGGAAGGUUUCUGCAGAGGCUGUAGAGAGCGUGGGGAGAACGAGAUCUGGCCGUGACUACGAUCCCUGAACUAGAGGAAGUUGUAGAGUUGUGAGAGUUUUGUUUUCUUUGGGUGAGAGCGUUCUCAAGUGUGGAUGACAGAGAAGCACAGGGAGUGAGCCGCCAUGUAAUUUAAAGUAAUAAACAUGUCAUUUUAUAAGAAUAAAAAAGUCAAGAUUUUUAAAAAGCC